rnacentral:rRNA from 1 species
CGGGUGAGUAAUGCGUGACCAACCUGCCCCAUGCUCCAGAAUAGCUCUUGGAAACGGGUGGUAAUGCUGGAUGCUCCAACUUGACGCAUGUCUUGUUGGGAAAGUGUUUAGUGGCAUGGGAUGGGGUCGCGUCCUAUCAGCUUGUAGGCGGGGUAAUGGCCCACCUAGGCUUCGACGGGUAGCCGGCCUGAGAGGGCGGACGGCCACAUUGGGACUGAGAUACGGCCCAGACUCCUACGGGAGGCAGCAGC